rnacentral:misc_RNA from 1 species
AACUCUCACCUCCAGCCGUUUUUUAAUUAGAGCGUGUUGGGGCGUGGAUGUGAGUGCUGCUGGUGCCCUGGUUGCAUCGGCUCACUUGAAAUUUAUUAGCUGAAUCCUCUAGAGUUGGUUCUACUCGACGUGAUAAGUAUCUCCGUCGAGGACAGUUGGUCUUGUCCUUAUGGGCGGGGUCCGCUGGCCAACGAUAGCAGUUGAUACGCUUCUAAUUAGCGCAGACUUCGAGUGCUGGCAACUUUUGACA